rnacentral:lncRNA from 1 species
GAGGAAUCCUCUAAACAGUAAACAGCUCAACUCCAGCUGCCACUGGAGAAAGGACAAGAACCACAAAGACAAAAUGAUGUUACAUUUGGGAAUUACAUUUGGGAAUUAAAGGAACAGCUGACACCACCAGCUAUUUCCCAACGUGCAGACUUGAAGCCCCCAAAGAGGAUAGGGCCUCCAGAAGCUCCACUUACGUCUGGACCUUGUGCUCCAAAGCAAACACAACCUAUCCGAUGGGUGGUGCAGAAAUAAGCUGAUGCAGCUUUCAUUGACCUUUCAGACUUGACCUUUCUCCUAUAAUCUCUAAUCUUGUUUUUAAUAAAUAUUUAACUUCUUG